ACUUAAGCUUUCGAGCUUCUCAAUUUUUAACGAUUUACUUGCAGCAGACGUUCUAGAGAUAUUCAGCGACUGCAGUUUCCAUUCCAUGAAAAGCAUUUCAAGACGACGAGAAAACUAAGUUGCUAAACCCAAUUCUUGCACCGAACGGUCUAGACUGACACCCAAAUAAAUUAGAGUUAGUAGAGCUCCUUGUAUAAAAAGUAUUACAAUAGCAGGCUAUCCGAAAGGGAUUUUUAAUCCCUUGUACUGUAAAAGCGAUUGAGCUUAAUAUUAGC